rnacentral:misc_RNA from 1 species
GAUGAAGAACGUAGUGAAAUGCGAUAAGUAAUGUGAAUUGCAGAAUUCAGUGAAUCAUCGAAUCUUUGAACGCACAUUGCGCCCGCUAGUAUUCUGGCGGGCAUGCCUGUUCGAGCGUCAUUUCAACCAUCAAGCCCCAGGCUUGUGUUGGGGGCCUGCGGCUGCCGCAGCCCCUGAAAAGCAGUGGCGGGCUCGCUGUCAUUCCGAGCGCAGUAGUUACAUCUCGCUCCGGGCGUGGCGGUGGGCACCUGCCGUGAAACACUCCUUCUAAGGUUGACCUCGGAUCAGGUAGGAAUACCCGCUGAACUUAAGCAUAUCAAUAAGCGGAGGA